AGAAAUAUCGUCUAAUCGGUAAGACACUGCUGCACCCAAGCAGAGACGCAAGUUCGAGUCUUGCUAUUUCUU
rnacentral:tRNA from 1 species